rnacentral:lncRNA from 1 species
GGAGAACGAGACGGUGCCAGGCAAUACGGAGUCCACACAGCAGUGGGCCUGCAGUGCCAGCCCUGCCCUGGACACAGCUCUCAUCAGAUUCUGCAGAGGUGCUAGGAACACCAUCCUUGGUAAAGUGCUUUGGGCUGACCUGUCAAUCUGAAAGGAACAUUCGUGAUUAUACAACAGGACAGAGAAGCCAUCCGUGGCUGAAUGCUGAUGCUCCCUCCUGAUGGCAGUCACCCCGUGAUUUGGUUAAACUGUCACCUGAAACCCUGAAGAGACUGGACUUGAGGCUCUCCUUCAUGGAAUUAUUAUUCAGAAACAAAGACUGCUCCCUUAAGUUCUCUUCUGCCUAUAGCUAAUUAUACUUCUUUAAGUGCCUGGAUCAUGCCCUGAUAUGGUCUAACCGGUAUAUUUGGGAAGAACCUGGGACUCCAUGCAUAUCCUAAGUGUGCGGCUUACUAAAAAGGCAAUGCCAUACUGCCACACUUAUGUCUGGAAGAGAGGUGAGCUCAAUAUGUUCCUGACCCACGUUUCUCUCUUGGGUAUCAUUCUGAAUACACCAGCACAUCUAGACACGAUAUGCUAAAGCCAAGAUGCUACCGGCAUACCAAUGAGUCAUGCUCAUUCCUAUUUCCUUCUGUUUCCUGUCAGUCAAGAACAUCCUGAGUGAGAGAGUUCCUACUACUGAGAUGGGAAGGAAGAAAGAAGGAAGGUAGAAAGAAGCAUAUUGUGACAAAGCUUUCUGUCUUAUUUCUCCUUUGCUUAGAAGUACAGUGAAGAACCUGAUACUCAUUCUUAGGUGUUUCAUUCGGUCAAAGCUGGACUAUGAAAUGGGCCUAACAGAAACCACGGAUUAGUUAAUAAGUGUAUCUGUUAAAUGAAGAAUGAGACAUUAUAAUUAAGGAUAGCUCUUUCUCAGAUAGCAAUUCCUUCUAAUACCGUCCGCAAAGCUAUUAAAUAUUUCUAAGAGUAGAAUGCAAAAUUAUAAAGAUGCUUUGGGCACAAUAAAUUUUUAAUCCCCUAUCUUUAUGACAAUUUUUCUAAAACCCAAACUGGCACAUUCAAGAUCCAUUUUAAUAAUUUAAAAAUUGUAUACUCUGUCAAUAUAAAGAAGGCUGACAAUUUCCUAACACAAAAGGAAAUCUACUGAAAAAAAGUCACUAAAAUACAUACCAAUGGCUGUAAGCAUUUUUAUAUAUUUAAAAGCCCUGUUUUGCUCCCCCCCACCCCCCACAUGAUGUGAUGCAAUCAGCAUUGAAUUACAAUGCUGUCUUAUACAAUCUAAGUAGAAAUCUGAUACUCACAAUGAUAAAAUUUACAUCCUUUCUGAAAGCAAGUCAUAUUUAGCUUACUUAUCAACUUCAUUAUUAGUAAAGAAAAACAAAAGUCCAGGAUAAAAGAUGACCCAUGGUGAUGUCUUGGCCCCUUAUUCUUCCUUUACUUCUGAAAAGCAGUAGCAGUGUUUGGUUUCUUAAAGACAGAGAUUAGCAUGAGAGUUUUUAUAUUUGACAAUGUGGAGAAAAGUAAAUACAGUGUAUAAUUUUGUAGGAGAAUAACUGUUGGGCAAGACAGAGGCGAACAGUCUGAUAUGAACCAGCAAUGAAAAAAGUUCUUUUUCUCUGAAUAUCAGAGGGAAAACAGUUCAGAAAUUGAAACGAGAGAAGGUAAACAGAGAUUCGCCUUGUAGGAAUGUGCAGAAAGGAAUAAAGUGAAGUCACUGUUUUUAGCAUAUUUUCAACCCAUCACAAUCAUACAUGGAUACUUAUAUUUAGAGAAAAAUGCCCAGUAACAAAUUUUCUUCCCCGGAAUGGAAGAGAAGUUUCCUGCAUUAAAUAUUGGCUCAGCUACUUCAAAGCAUUAAAAACAUAAACAAAACCUCAGAGAAUUAGAUUUGGCUAAAACUAUCUGUCACAUUACCCUAAUGAGUGAGCAUGUGAUUGACGAGGAGGCUGUAGUUUGGCAUGGUGGCCAGACUACUCCAUUCUGAGCCUUUUUAACUCCACCUAAUGGCCCCCACAAGGCAGGUGGACACCCCUCCAAGGGGAGGCAACUGAGUGACACACAGAAGCAGAAUCUGUGCCUCUCAUCAGAUCUGUGCAUCCAGAAUCCGAGCAUCUCUCUUUUGAAAUGAAUAUUAGAAAGUCUGUCUUAAGAUGAUAGCAGCAGGGAAAUUCCAAAUCAAAGUAGUCACUGUGGCCUUAACUCACCCGAUUAGGUCGACUAUUACCUCAUCUGCUGCAAAAGAUCAUACUUUGUGCUCAGGCCAAUGUGACUUUUAAACAUACGAAGCUGAAGGAAGUGUCUAUACCAUUCAACCUCAGUUCUCCCUACCCUGUCUUUUUUUGUUUGAAAGUCUCCUUAGAGGGAGGCUCUUAGCAAUGCUAAGACAGUUACGGUGGUACACUUUCCUCUCGUUGACCUCUACCUGAGGAUGAGGAUAAAUAUGAUGACUCAUUAUAUUUACAGAGCAUUUUACAAUUUUCAAAAUGUCUGGUGUGGGUUUCUAUACUUUGACUCUCAGUUAAUCUACUCAAUGACAUGGAUGGGUCCAGUUUAAGCCAGAUCCUAGGAAGAGAGUAACUGAUUUGCUCAAAGUCAUGUGGGUAGUGACUGGUAGAGCUGGGCCCUGAUCUGGGCCUAGACGCCAGAUUUCAGGGAAGAAAAUGGUUAUAUUUCAACAUGGACCCAAGUUUUUAGUUUAAUCCUCUAUGAUACUUAGUCCACUGAGUCCUUAUGCUAAGGAAGAUGGGAGAUCACCCAGAACUUUGUGUUGGUAAUGUCUGUUUAGUUCACGCAGUGAUUCACAAAGGGAGGAAAAAUCAGAAAAAUGUACUUUCAGUAUGAACCUUUCUAAUGAUCUUAGCGAUUGACUUUAGUGCCCUUCGAAGGUUUAAGGCCAAACACGUGAUACUCUUUGUUUUUAGGUUAUUAUUUUUGAAUUUAUCAAGAUUGAAUUCAAAACUUGGCAUUCAAAAAUCUGACUAAUUCAUGAAGAAAUAACAUAUUUGUGUUCUGCUGGUAUGGGUAAGGAAACCGAUAUGAUUCAUUUUAGUAACUAAAUCUGUUUGUAAAAACCAAAAAAAGUCAUAAUUUUCAAACUGUGUGAAGCAAGGCAGAAUCAUUUGUUUCCCAACAAAUGGUACCAGUUUACAAGGCUGUUUUCUCUUCCGCAUGUGGAGAUUUUCACAUAGACUGUUAAAUAUAACUGACUGAGUUGAUUUGGAAAAUACCAAGAAAACCAUAUACUGUACAGCUCAAAUGACUGGAGCUAACAAAAACAAACAAACCCUCCCUGGCCCCCAGAAAUGUAAAUAAAAAGUUAGAUUUCCCUGUACUACAUUUGAUUGCAUUAAUUGAUGUUUAAAAAAAAAUCCGUUGAAAAUAAAGCCCAGCAGUAGCAUUUUUCUUUCCUAAAUCACAAUAGCAGCACAUUACAAACAUUACCAAAAGGUCCCCUGGCACGUUUGUAAAGUUCCACUCUGGCAGUAAAAUGCAUCUACUGAGUGUUCUCCAUUUCCAUCUCUACCCUCCCAAAUAUGUAGGAAAGCAGGUCACAAAUGCAAUUAAGCCUCCUUGCAGGUUGUUUAAAUAUUCAUUUCCAAUGAGGACUCAGAAACUGAAUGGUCAGCCACGGAAUCCUUUUUAAUUUAUUAAAAAACCCUAAUCUUGUUCUAAAACAGGGUUUGACCGCUGAUAGCAGGCAGAUCAUUAGGACUGAAUGUAAUCGGCUGUGUUUCCAAAAUCCUGACAAGUGAGGCAUGCGCUUUGGUGAGCCUAGCCUAUUAGCAGACACAGACCUCCACCAGCAGCUUCGGGGGGCUUACAUAGCAGUGGACAGGACAGACAGUGUUAAUAACAGUCAUCGGGGACAUCAUCUAUAAAACCUCUCCUCUCAUGCGCCAUGGGGGAGUGAUUUUAAAAACCUGGGCUUUGGAAUCACUUGGUGGUAGUUGGUGGGAUGCCCAACCCUAACCCCUACAUCGUAAACCAAACCAUCCGGCCAGUUGGGGCUAUCGAGGACCACAUCCAGGGCUGAGAAGUGGGACUCAGGGGAGAGAAUCUACAGCCAGCGUUCAGCAUCUGCCUCUGAUAAGUGCUCUGUAAGUAUCAGUUAUUUUUGGUAUUAUGCAUGAAACAAACUUUUGCUGCGUUUGCGUUUGUUAAUGUAUCUCCUAUCAAGAGUUUUUACUCUUUAGAGUUGAUUUAUUGACACUGUUCCUCUAUAAUUCUCCCCUUUGUCUCCACAGAAGGUGUUUUUUCCUCCUCAUCAGCUCUGUUGGCUGCCCCAGGUUUUGCCCAACUUGACAGUGAGAACUGAGACUGGCAGCACGCAGCUGGUGGGGUGGGGCGAGGGGGUGUCCUUGCUCCAAGAGACGGAGUGAGGCUGCAGGAGCUCUAGUGGCACUGGUCAGGCUCCCACACCUGUGGGAUGCUUUGGGCAGAUCCAGCAGAGACCUUUUUUUUUCAGGCUUUCAACUGAACCCAGACAUUCAGCAAGAAAUCUUCCUAGCACAUGGUAAUGGUAAACUUUGAAACAAUGUCUAGAGGAUGCUAAUGCUGUUACAUUAUCCACUUUUGCAAAGUUCGAUCUCUCCAGGCACUGCCCUAAAAAAACUGGUUAAUUUUUUUCUCCUUCAUCAUCCUUGUCUCCUCAACCCAACUGUGUGUGUGUGUGUGUGUGUGCGUGCGUGCGUGCGUGCAUGCACGCGCGCCUGUGUGUGUAGAGGGGAUCGGAAGUAAUGUUUAGAUAAUCUAUCUGUGUUGGUUGGGAUGACACAGAAAAUUAGUGCAGAAAUGAGAAGAGUGGUACAGCUUAAGUGGAAAAGAACUGUCACACCGUUUCCUGUACCUCAGACCUUAAGCCCUGGCCAAGUCUCUUCCCCUCACUCAGAAUUCAUUUCUCUCAAUUCCUACCAUACUUUAUAGGACUCUUAGGGUAUUCAGCGCAUUCUUCCUUACAGCAUAAAUACGUAUCUUAUUUCCCCUAGAAAAAGAAGAGAAAGGUAGGCAGAGAUAGAGGGAGGGAGGAGGGAGGGAGGAGACAUUGGGAAGCCACUGUGCCCUAGGGAUGUUUUACCUGUGGAUUGGGAAGGUGUAUGAAAUGUUUUUGUUUGUUUUUUGUUUGUUUUGUUUUUUUGUUUUUUGCAUUCCCAAACAACUCGACAUGUAACCAAAGAGAUCUUUUCAAGUUUAUACCAUUCUUCUACCAGUGACAUGCCUCUUGCCUAGUUUUCUUACCUCUGAUCAGCCCCUCGAAUUUAAAAAUAAAAGCAGGAGUUACUGUUGUGGCUCAGUGGGUUAAGAACCUGACUAGUAUCCAUGAGGAUGUGGGUUCAAUACCCAGCCUCACUCAGUAGGCUAAGGAUCCGGCAUUGCCCUGAGCUGCAGUGUAGGUCGAGGACCCAGGCUGGAUCCUGCAUUGCUAUGGCUGUGGUGUAGGCUGGCAGCUGCAGCUCCAAUUCGAUCCCUAGGCUGGGGAUUUUCAUAUGCUGCAGGUGUGGCUGUAAAAAUAAAAAUAAAAGCAAUUGUGUUUAGCCCCAUCCCCUUUAUUUAUUUCUAUCAAAAAAAAAAAAAAAAAAAAAAAAA